rnacentral:rRNA from 1 species
UACGGAGGGUGCAAGCGUUAUCCGGGUUCACUGGGUUUAAAGGGUGCGUAGGAGGGCAGGUAAGUCAGUGGUGAAAUCUUCGAGCUUAACUCGGAAACUGCCGUUGAUACUAUCUGUCUUGAAUACCGUGGAGGUGAGCGGAAUAUGUCAUGUAGCGGUGAAAUGCUUAGAUAUGACAUAGAACACCAAUUGCGAAGGCAGCUCGCUACACGAAUAUUGACUCUGAGGCACGAAAGCGUGGGGAUCAAACAGG